GACAAGAGAAACAAAUGGUAUAUUUACACUGCUGCAACCAAGGGAUAAAGAUUUCGGAAUUGCCUUCCUUCAAUCCAAUAAUCUUAAGAUUGGAAUAGAAGCACAGUUUUUUUGUGUGGAAAAGAAAGAAAGCAAAGUGCUUCCCUUAUUUUUAUUAAACAACAAAUCUAAGAGACAAAAUUACAGAGGUAAGAAGAGAUGUAUGGAGUGAUACAGUAACAAUACGGACAAUCCAACACCACAA
rnacentral:lncRNA from 1 species